UUUCGCAAUGCCCGAAAGGGUGACGAAGCGACGCCGCGUGUGGGAAGAAGGCCUUCGGGUUGUAAACCACUGUCGGGAGUUAGGAAAUGUAAGGGUGCUAAUAGUAUCCUUGCUUGACUAAGGCUCCGGAGGAAGCCACGGCUAACUCUGUGCCAGCAGCCGCGGUAAUACAGAGGCGGCAAGCGUUGUUCGGAAUUAUUGGGCGUAAAGAGCACGUAGGCGGCCUUGUAAGUCAGUUGUGAAAGCCUUCUGCUUAACGGAAGAACAGCAGCUGAUACUGCAAGGCUAGAGUGCGGAAGGGGAGAGUGGAACUUCUGGUGGAGCGGUGAGAUGCGUAGAUAUCAGAAGGAACACCGGCGGCGAAGGCGACUCUCUGGUCCGUAACUGACGCUGAGUGUGCGAAAGCUAGGGGAGCAAACGGGAUUAGAUACCCCGGUAGUCCUAGCCGUAAACGAUGGGCACUAAGUAGAGGGGUUUUA
rnacentral:rRNA from 1 species